UUCAGAUCUAUGAAAGAAAUCCCAAACAAAACUUUUGGGGUUUUUUUUAAAUUGAGGCAAUUAAUUUUUUGGGGUUUAACUAAUAUAAUUAAGUAUACACUGGAUUAAAUUAAUAUGAUGGUGAGGAAGAUGAGAGAUGCGUUUUAAUGGUGAAGAAGAAGAAGAAGAGAAGAAGAAGAAACGCAGUAGAAGGAAGAAGAAGAAUGUUUGUUUGUUUUUUUUUUUGUAAAAUUUGGGUUUUAAUUAGAGAAGAUCCCAAAAAAGAGUUUUGGGUUUCUUUUUUGGGUUUGUUUUAAAAAUAAUAGUAGUUAGUUAUUUUUUGGGGUUUAAUUAAUAUAAUUAAGUGUUAAUAUUAGGAUUAGGAGAGAAAAUGGUUGAGUAAGGGUAAAAAAGUAAAUUCACGCUAACAGAGAGUUAAUGGAAUGGACGGAAAAUGUUCAUUAAGGGCAUUUGGUGUUAUUGUUUUAAACCUCGGGGGUAUUUGGUGCAUUCUGGAAACAUUAGGGGUAUUUGGUGCAUUAACGCAAACCUCGGGGUCAUUUCAUGAAAAAUCCGUAAUAUUAAAUACAUAUAUGUUGUAUUCUGCCAUCGACAUUCAGAUAAAUAUAUGACAAUGCUGUUAUCUAUAUUUGGGAAAGUGUUAAUGUUCUUGUUCUUACUAAUUGAAAGGGCAAGAAUACUAUCUGUUUGUGAAUCUUGCUCUUUAAAAUGGAACUGUUGUAUAAGUUUUAAGCUUUAUGGCAAUUUCUGUAAAUCAGCUGUUGUUUCUUGCACCAUUAAACUCAGAACAUGUAGGCAUGAUUUAAUAUUACCCUAUGUUCAAAGCACAUUUUCCCAGCAUCACCACUCAUUCUAUACAACACCAGGAUUAUUUUAGCUAGUACUUUUGAUGAUUUCAGACCUACAACGGUGCUGGUCACUCUUUCAUGACUGACACGGACAAGACCUCAACAAACCAGCAAACUAAAAGUCCUAGCAUAUAGAAUAGCUUAACAGCAUCAGAAGAUGAUUUUAGAGCCCUGGUUCUUGCCACCUCCCUAGAACUUGUAUUGGAGGAAGAAAGAGGGGGAUUGGUAAAUUGAUGACAUUAUUAAAUUGUAUAUGCCUUCUAGUUGUCAAAUUUAAGCGUCAAGGUUGAUCUUUGUUUCCUUUGUUAAUUUUUAGCCUGAAUCUAAUGUGGAAUUAAUCAAAUCAUACCAUUUUUGUAUAAUUGUAUGUGUUAAUUGGUAAUGGUUUGCUGUAAUUACAUAUUCAUUGAUAUUGUUUUAAUGAAAUUACACCGUAAAAAGCAAGCAAUCGUGUAUGAAAUCAUAGUAUCGACUUGUGCAUAUAAAUAAAAUCUGUGUGUGCAUUUGUAAUCUCAAUUUUUCACCUCCAGAAUAUGUCAAGUGAGCUUUGCUGGAGAAUUAUUGAAGUACUUUGAAUAACUGUUGUGAUGGGACACCUAAUACCUUAAGGUAGAUGUUCUAGUAUUUGAGUGUUAUAAUAGUGUUGAAGCCUCAUAUUGUUAAUUUGGUUUUUAUGGUAGAGGCUUGGACUUGUACUGGGUAUUUUCAGCAGUAAGGAGCCUUCUCUGUUUUAGCAGGAGUGUCAAAUGCGGAAAAUGAAGCAGAUCUACUAGGAACACUGAUGCUGAUCUUUGGAAUGGGUCUCUAUGAGCUCUUUGUUUCCAACCUUGACAUUGUAAAAUCACUACUAGAUGCAAAUUUAUCCGGCUUAUUCCCUUCACUGAUGACUUGAAAUAAAAUCAGUUAGCGAUCUGAAGACAAUGGUCUGGCAUGUGAUUGUGAUGUUUCUCUAGUACCAUAGUGGGUACCUACUACUUAUUCUCAAGCGAAGAUUGAUGGAUUAAGGGACUUAUGGGUUACCUAUGUGUCUGAGCAUAAAGAACUAGAUGAAGAGUAUGAAGAUGGUAUGGAUUAUGAAGAUGAUGACAUGGCGUAGGUGAUUUAUGACUUCAUUUUAGUUUAGAAUUUUGUAUUUCUUUGCUGAAAAGAUUAUAGGAUAAAACAUUAAGUACCUUUAGAUAUUAACAUUUUUUGUAAUAUUUUUUCGGUUAAUGAAAGAUUUGGGUUAUUUUGGUAUUAUAAGUAUGCUACACUUUAGUAAAAUAAUAAUAAUACUAUCAGAUAUGGAAUUUCUUAGCAAGGAACGUUAAGUUUAUAGUCCUUGUCAGAUUAAUCCUGGAAUGGAGUUUUCUAAGGCAGCUAAGGUUCCUUAGCGUUAUUAGUUUCAACAUUCAAUUUCAAGAUAAUAGUAAAGAUACAUUUAUGUGUAUAACGAAUAUUAUCCACUCCAAUGGCAUUUAUAAUGUGUUUCCAGUUCAUCACAUCAAGUGAAGCAUGAUUAUACAAGAACAGGCAAAGAUGCGAAAACAACAACAGAUGUCAUAAUAGAUCA